rnacentral:rRNA from 1 species
GACGAACGCUGGCGGCGUGCUUAACACAUGCAAGUCGAGCGGUAAGGCCCUUUCGGGGGUACACGAGCGGCGAACGGGUGAGUAACACGUGGGUGACCUGCCCUUAGCUCUGGGAUAAGCCUGGGAAACUGGGUCUAAUACCGGAUAUGACUCCAUGACGCAUGUUGUGGGGUGGAAAGCCUUGUGCGGCUGGAGAUGGGCCCGCGGCCUAUCAGCUUGUUGGUGGGGUGAUGGCCACCAAGGCGACGACGGGUAGCCGGCCUGAGAGGGCGACCGGCCACACUGGGACUGAGACACGGCCCAGACUCCUACGGGAGGCAGCAGUAAGGAUAUUGCGCAAUGGGCGAAAGCCUGACGCAGCGACGCCGCGUGGGGAUGAAGGUCUUCGGAUUGUAACCCCUUUCGGGAGGGAAGAUGGAACGAGCAAUCGUUCGGACGGUACCUCCAG